rnacentral:rRNA from 1 species
GACGAACCAUGCAAACGUUAUUCGGAAUUACUGGGCUUAAAGCGUGCGUAGGCGGCUCAGAAAGUUGGGUGUGAAAUCCCUCGGCUCAACCGAGGAAUUGCGCCCAAAACUACUGGGCUCGAGGGAGUUAGAGGUGAGCGGAACUCACGGUGGAGCGGUGAAAUGCGUUGAUAUCGUGAGGAACACCGGAGGCGAAAGCGGCGUCACUGGGGCUUACUCUGGACGCUGAGGCACGAAAGCUAGGGGAGCAAACGGG